rnacentral:rRNA from 1 species
AUUGAACGCUGGCGGCAUGCCUUACACAUGCAAGUCGAACGGUAACAGGUCUUCGGAUGCUGACGAGUGGCGAACGGGUGAGUAAUACAUCGGAACGUGCCUAGUAGUGGGGGAUAACUACUCGAAAGAGUGGCUAAUACCGCAUGAGAUCUACGGAUGAAAGCAGGGGAUCGCAAGACCUUGUGCUACUAGAGCGGCCGAUGGCAGAUUAGGUAGUUGGUGGGAUAAAAGCUUACCAAGCCGACGAUCUGUAGCUGGUCUGAGAGGACGAUCAGCCACACUGGGACUGAGCCACGGCCCAGACUCCUACGGGAGGCAGAAGUGGGGAAUUUUGGACAAUGGGCGAAAGCCUGAUCCAGCAAUGCCGCGUGCAGGAUGAAGGCCUUCGGGUUGUAAACUGCUUUUGUACGGAACGAAAAGCCCCGGGUUAAUACCCUGGGGUCAUGACGGUACCGUAAGAAUAAGCACCGGCUAACUACGUGCCAGCAGCCGCCGUAA